rnacentral:rRNA from 1 species
GAUGAACGCUAGCGGCAGGCUUAAUACAUGCAAGUCGAGGGGCAGCACGGGUAGCAAUACUUGGUGGCGACCGGCGCACGGGUGCGUAACACGUAUACAACCUACCUAUAACAGGGGGAUAGCCUUUCGAAAGAGAGAUUAAUACCCCGUAAUAAAUUGAAUGGCAUCAUUUGAUUUUGAAAGUUCCAACGGUUAUAGAUGGGUAUGCGUCCUAUUAGCUAGUUGGUGGUGUAAUGGACCACCAAGGCGACGAUAGGUAGGGGAUCUGAGAGGACAAACCCCCACACUGGUACUGAGACACGGACCAGACUCCUACGGGAGGCAGCAGUAAGGAAUAUUGGACAAUGGUCGCAAGACUGAUCCAGCCAUGCCGCGUGCAGGAAGACGGCCCUAUGGGUUGUAAACUGCUUUUGUACCAGAGAAAACCUACUCACGUGUGAGUAGCUGAUAGUAUGGUAAGAAUAAGCAUCGGCUAACUUCGUGCCAGCCGCCGCGGUAACAC